GCAUUAUACUUUAAAAUACAUAAUGUAACAUUUAUUACACAAAACACAGACAUGUAACAUAUCCCCAGAUAGCUCAGGUCUGAGUGCACAUUAUUAGGUGAAUGGCACGCAGACCACACGAAUACAGUUUAAUCGCCAUGGAGCUAAAGUCUUUACACAGUCAGUUUCAUACGAAUGGGCUCCAUGGGAUUCCUAUCUGGGGUAUAAUACAUUUGAACAAAAAUACCGUGUUCGCGCAAAACUGUGUCCGAUUUUAGUUCCAUGAAAAUAGAGACGAACACUGCUGUGCAUUCGUAUGUUUUAAAAUGGCCGCGACCUCGUGUUCGGGAUACGAAUGGCGGCCACCCAGCAUUCAUCAAUUAAGCUGCGGUUAACCGCAGCUUCAGGGAGGUUAAUUGCCG